rnacentral:rRNA from 1 species
UACGUAGGGUGCAAGCGUUGUCCGGAAUUAUUGGGCGUAAAGAGCUCGUAGGCGGUUCGUCGCGUCGGCUGUGAAAUCCCGAGGCUCAACCUCGGGUCUGCAGUCGAUACGGGCGGACUGGAGUUCGGCAGGGGAGACUGGAAUUCCUGGUGUAGCGGUGAAAUGCGCAGAUAUCAGGAGGAACACCGGUGGCGAAGGCGGGUCUCUGGGCCGUACCUGACACUGAUGCGCGACAGCAUGGGGAGCAAACAGG